rnacentral:rRNA from 1 species
UACGUAGGGUGCGGGCGUAAUCGGAAUUACUGGGCGUAAAGCGUGCGCAGGCGGUUUUGCAAGCCGGAUGUGAAAUCCCCGGGCUUAACCUGGGAAUGGCAUUUGGGACUGCAAGGCUGGAGUGCGGCAGAGGAGACUGGAAUUCCUGGUGUAGCAGUGAAAUGCGUAGAUAUCAGGAGGAACACCGAUGGCGAAGGCAGGUCUCUGGGCUGACACUGACGCUCAUGCACGAAAGCGUGGGGAGCAAACAGG